rnacentral:rRNA from 1 species
GGCGGACGGGUGAGUAAUGCGUAGGAAUUUACCUCAAAGCGGGGGAUAGCCCGGAGAAAUCCGGAUUAAUACCGCAUGUGCUCUACGGAGGAAAGCGGGCCUCUACUUGUAAGCUCGCACUUUGAGAUAAGCCUACGUCGGAUUAGCUUGUUGGUGGGGUAAAAGCCUACCAAGGCGACGAUCCGUAGCUGGUUUGAGAGGAUGAUCAGCCACACUGGGACUGAGACACGGCCCAGG